GACAGAGGCCUCAAGCGUUAGGCGGAAUCACUGGGCUUAAAGCGUGUGUAGGCGGACUUCUAAGUACCUUGUGAAAUCCCACGGCUUACCCGUGGAACUGCUCGGUAUACUGGUUGUCUUGAGCCACCUAGGGGCGAGUGGAACAAAUGGUGGAGCGGUGAAAUGCGUAGAUAUCAUUUGGAACGCCAAUGGUGAAAACAACUCGCUGGGGGUGUGCUGACGCUGAGACACGAAAGCCAGGGGAGCGAACGGG
rnacentral:rRNA from 1 species